UAGAUAUAUUGCAAUAUUGAUAUACAUGCAUGCGUUUCAGGAUUCCCAGAUCUCAUUUGGGGUGUCAGGUGACUGUGAAGCACUGGAUGGAUGGAACAACAGUUAACGUUCCGCAAGAGAUCAAUGAUCAACAAGGAAAACAAGAGGCAGUGAGCAGCAAAUGAUACACAAACUCUCACACGUACAAUCACCAUGUUAAUUUUACACUUAAUAUACAGUCAGAUUUGUUUUUCUUUUCCAAAGUUGUUUUUGUCUUGUUCUGUUUGACGGCAUAUGAACAUGGUACUUUGAAAUUCGACAAAAUAAUAAAAUGAAUGUGACCCACCAGUAUGCCUCUGUUUAUCACCUAAAUGAAUCUUAACACAGCAAAGAAUGGGAUGAAUAUUUCUUGCCUUAAGUGAUGUUGUGACUUAGAAGCUGUCUUGAAAGAACUUUUUAUAAUGUAUUACAAUAUUUGCACUUAGGGCUUGGCCAGGGCCAUCAUGCACUCAUGAUUUUUGAGGGGGCACGCGGGGUGUCAUGAGUGAAUUACUCAACCUCAAGUUGUUCCAAACACAUAAGACCUUCGUUGAUCUUUGGAAAACAAAUUAAGAUAUUUUUGAUGCAUUCUGAGAGCUCUUUGACCCUCCCAUAGACAGCAAGGGUACUACCACGAUCAAGGUAAAGAAACGUAGUGCAUCAGUAAAAUAGAUCAUGUGACAUCUGUAGCUCAACCGUAAUUUUACGAAGCUACGAGAAUACUUUCUGUGCAAAAAAUAACAACCAUAUCUAU
rnacentral:lncRNA from 1 species